rnacentral:rRNA from 1 species
AUACAGAGGGUGCGAGCGUUAAUCGGAAUUACUGGGCGUAAAGCGCGCGUAGGCGGUCUAUUAAGUCAGAUGUGAAAUCCCAGGGCUCAACCUUGGAACUGCAUCUGAUACUGGUAGACUAGAGUUUUGGAGAGGGAAGUAGAAUUUCAGGUGUAGCGGUGAAAUGCAUAGAGAUCCGAAGGAAUACCAGUGGCGAAGGCGACUUCCUGGCCAAAAACUGACGCUGAGGUGCGAAAGCGUGGGUAGCAAACGGGAUUAGAAACCCUAGUAGUCC